rnacentral:hammerhead_ribozyme from 1 species
AUCCAUCAGACGAGUCCCAAAUAGGACGAAAUGCGCAUCCUGGAU